GGAACCUGUGAAUAGAUGUGCGUUUAACUCUAAUGCACAUGUUGGUAUGCUUUAUAGUCAUAACUGGCCCUGCCUGGGACUUAAAUAUUUGAAGAAUACUAGAGUUGGGAGACUUCAGAUCUAAGGUUGUUUGCUAUAGACUCAAAGUGAAUGCAGCAAAGGAAGCAUGGAGCAAUUGCCUAUCAUCUAUAAGAGAGACAGCAGUUGCUGCUUGGAAAAGAGGAAGAGAGGAUCAAAUAAGAUCUACAGAUGUGCAUCUUACUUAUAUAUACCUGAAGUGUCUUACAUGCAUACUAUCAGCAAUCAAGAUGAACAAUUUAUUGCCCAAAUGGCUUGUUUUGCCACACUGAAUAAAAAGUCCAUAUGGAGAUUCUUUUGUGCCCAUCAUCUUCUCUUAAGUAAGUUGCUGCUGCCAGGAGCUGAUGUGUCUCAUUAUCAUGAAAAGCCUUAGGUUAUUAUAAAAAUUCAAAUGCCAUAUUCUAUAGGUCUUUAAGUGUUUGAAGAUCACAUAUCUCUUUAAGAUGUAUCCUUGCAUGACCUUGAAACCAUACUUAAAAUGACUAUAAGUUUUUUUAGAUGACUAACUACUAACUUGUAUUUCUUUAUUGUCCUAAAUAGUUUGUAAUAGUAACUUUCAAGGAAUAAAAAUUUAUGUUGUUAAAUGAGCUGCAUAGGUA